CUCUGAAGAGAGAGUAAACAGUACGUGAAACCGCAUGCAGGUAAACGGGUGGCGUCAAGCUGCGAGCCCGGAGAAUUCAGCUGGCCAGAGUGUAGUGUGCGCGCCUGUGGCGUCGAAGGGCCGGAAUAAGAUGUGGUAGUCCACUUCUCUCAAGGAGGUGGGGCAUAGCUGUAGCCUCGGUUGCGGCUUUUGCUACGCGUGCCGGGUGGUUAUCGGAGCGUGCUAUUCAUCUGUUGGGCCGUCUGGUCAGUGCACUUUCUCUGUGGUGAACACCACGACCGGUGGUAUUGCCAGUCUGCUGUGGUCAAGUCGUGUCUUUCUGAUGGUCUUGUCUCUCUCUCUCUCUGUGUGUCUUAUCAUGGGGAGGGAGGAUAAUGACUGUUUGGGAGAUGCGAUCGCGGAUGGGAGGGGUGUACGGCGUAAUGGUGUCUCCGCACUGUUGCGUGUCAUCGUGCAUCCACCGUCUCAACGGGGUGUGUGGCGGUGUAAGGCUGUGACCGCGCUACAAUUUGCCUCGGCGGAUCAUGGUGGUGAAAGUGACUGUGCAAGGCACCGUGUUUGACCGCCUCAAUUCCUAUGGUAUCGGGCACGCACGUCACAGGUGCAAGUAUCGGUGCGCGUCGCUGUCUGUGCACGUUGGGCUUGGCUAGUUUGUGGCUUGCUAAAUGACAGUCUCCUAGUGGUCCGACGUGUUAUUACAGUGGGCAGUGUUGCGUGUUGCCGGGUGCAAUGAUACCGGGGGCGACAUAGUCAGUGGUGCUGUGGUAGACGAGCUACCCGACCCGUCUUGAACG
rnacentral:rRNA from 1 species